GAUCAUGGCUCAGGAUGAACGCUAGCUACAGGCUUAACACAUGCAAGUCGAGGGGCAGCAUGGUCUUAGCUUGCUAAGGCCGAUGGCGACCGGCGCACGGGUGAGUAACACGUAUCCAACCUGCCGUCUACUCUUGGACAGCCUUCUGAAAGGAAGAUUAAUACAAGAUGGCAUCAUGAGUCCGCAUGUUCACACGAUUAAAGGUACUCCGGUAGACGAUGGGGA
rnacentral:rRNA from 1 species